GCCGCUUCCCGCGCCCCGCCCCCGGCCCCGCCCCCCGGCCGUGAGGGGAGCGCUGCGGGCGGAGCCGGGCCCGGGACGGGAGGGGAGGGAAGGAACGGGACAGUGCCCGUGCCCGUGCCCGGGGCGGGAAGAGCAGCGUUGCUCCGCCCCGGGCACGGUGGCACGGCUCCGCGCACCAGGAAUCAGUGACAGUGGUGCUGUUAGCACGUGGGGCUGUGACAGGGCGCACUCGCGGCUCCGCUGCUUUGUGCGUGCUGGGAGACGCUGCAGAGCCGUGUGUGAAGUUGUGUCCUUAGAUCUGUGGCUGGUCUGUAUGUGGGGAUUCAAGUGUGACAGGGCCGAGCCUGCGGCGGGGACACGCGGAACUGCAGCUGUGCGCGAUGAGCCGGGCCUUGGACCUCCAGCCUGGCUGCAAAGGGCAUGGCUUAAAGUCCCAGAGCUGUGGUGGGAGCUCUUUCCAAUGACCCAUAAUAAUGCCUCAUCCAUCACAAGGUUCCUGUGAAACUCUUUGCAGAAUAAAUGAGGAAUGACGUUCUGCAUUUCAUCCACAGGCAUCAUUGCUCCUUGAGCUCAUCUCAGACUUUGCCCCACGUUGAAAUGGAAUUGAGCAUCCACUGACAGAAGAGGAGUUUGGUCUUGGAGAAGAGUACAAAAUAAUAAGUGUAGUCCGUAUGCCUGUAACACUGUAAAAAUGUAAUUAAAAUGUGUUACCUUCAUCUUGAUCAGAAAGUGUCUGUGAAAGUUUUCUUAUUUAUUUUUUGCUUAACUUUUUUUUCUUAAUGCAAUGCAAUGUGUAAGGCAACUUUUUCUAUGUUGGGAUUUGCAGGUUAGCUAGAGUUAUGCUUAGAACAUACUAAGUGCUAUAAAAAUUUCACAUAUUAAAAAAGAAACCCUCAUGGUCUGCAUAUUUCAAUAGUCCCCACUUGACAUUUUUAAUAGCUGCAUUUUCUGGAUUUUAUUUGCUUGUCUGUUAAAUAUGACAGCCUGUUUGCAUUAAAGUAUAAUGGAAGUCAGAUUCUUAACAAUGAGGAACUCUGGUGUAAGAACGAGGUGAACGUUUUAAAUGAACUCCCAUGAGAGAAACUUCCAGUUCUGGAAACUUGAUAGAAAUGCAAACCCCCUUCUUUUCAUACAGCCUCCUCAGUGCAAAGGUUGCUAAAAUUGACUCAACUGUAAUAUAUGCUUCCAUAUAUUAGCUUUAUAUGCUUAUUUUUUUUAUUUAGCUGUAUACACUAAAUCUCGGUUUAAAAUAUUUUGGUAAUGAAGAUAUAUUUUUUACCAUGUGUAAUAAUUGAAUGGUUUUGUAGCCGUGUCAGUUCUUAUAAAAUUGUAACUUUUAUUCUAAAUUUUCAGGAUUUUUAGUACUGAAUAUUUCUUGUUCUGUGUAGAAGAAAAGUAGUUCUUAUACCUUUUCUGUGCAACUUCUCUGAUCUGUAUUGACUCUACUAGUACUUAACUUUAUAAUAAACAUAACUAGAAUAAAGCUUCCAUAUUAUUAUUAAUUUAGCUUAGCUGUGUUACAGAAUAUGGACUUGCUAGUAGAACUUAUAUCCCCAGUGGCUAAAGUCUAAAGACAAGUGAGUGUGAUGUUUUACAACUGACAUCACAUGUUCCAAGAGAGUUAUUUCUAACUGGUGCUGGUAGUAUGAAUAAAUUCAUUAUCUUUAAUACACUA